GUUUACUUUAAAAAAUCAAGCCUGGCUUGAAAACAGAGGCCAGUGGAUACUUGUUGGCAGCCUUCUCUGACAGAGCCUGCACCAGCAUCAAGGGCCUGAUUGGAGUCCCCACCCACCGCAUGGCCAAAAGCAAAUUCUAAUCAGGAGACAAAAUCACAUGGAAGGCAGAAAGUAUGGAAAAGGGGCCAUCUACUAUGAAAAAGAUGCGGGUACAAUUUGUGAGACUUCAGGGCGAGUUUUCAUCGGCAGCAAGAACUACCUGUCCUGUCUGCUGCAGCUCAGAGAUCCAGUGGCCAUCCUUGUGCAGGAAAUGGAAGCAGCCUCCUUAGGAAUAUUGACAGCCAAGGUCUCCUGAGAUACUUUGGUGACACAAAGAUAGAUGACAAUUGACGCAAACCCAGGUAAUCCAGCCAACAGAGGCCUCUUGAGGAAGCGACAGUGUGACAUUUGACAUUUCAAGUUCUACCAGUGGACUUUCAGCGGGAGUGACAGAGCAAGGCUAAGUGCAUAGUUUAUUCCAAACUUCAGUUUUAUUGUUAACUUGCCAAUACUGUGAAGAACUUACCGCCUUGGUACACAGAAUGCAAGGUUAGAAAUGACAGACCUUGUCCUGAAAAAAAAAAUAGUGAAGAGGGCUUAGGGCAGAGAGGAUGGCUCAGCAGGUAAAGCACUUGCUGUUCAAACUCAAGAGCAUCUACAUAAAAAGCUAGGUAUAGCCUGUAACCACAGUGCUCAGGAGCAGGCACGGAACUAGAAGGAUGCUGCGGUUGGCUUGCCGCCAGCCUAGUUUUAGGUUCAGUGAAAAACUCUUGCAAGAGAAUAAGACAGAAAGUGAUAGAGAAGGACACUUGAUAUCCUCUUGUGGUCUCAGCAUAUACAUGGGUACAUACAUGUACCUGCAUACACAACACAUACAUAAAUACACACACACAUACACACACACACUUAC
rnacentral:lncRNA from 1 species